UCUACGUCAUGUGGAAGUCCUUCAAAUGGAAAUCCUGCCUUGGUAAAGACAAAUGAAAGAGCAUGAACGAUGAAAUACUUGCAAUAUAAAGAAAUAUAAAGAAAAUAUUAUGAUAUAUAGUCUGUUUUUCUUGUGGAUUUUCAGCACCAAUAACGACUUGAAUAUUUUUUCCAGGUUAAAGAAACUGAAGUGGCCAAAAGUGGCUGAAGUGACUCCUCAGCACCUGGACUGAAGCUACUUGGAAUCUCUUUUGCCAGCAGCACAAGCAGAGCCUGCUUGAGAGUAGCAGCACCUAAAAAAUGGGCCAUCAAAAGUUUCUGAGAAAUAAAAUUGAGAGAAGGUGGUCCUUAAAGCAACAGAAAAGCAGGCACAGUUCUCCUAUGAUCUUCAUGUUCCUGCUGCCUCCAUCCCCAAAUAUCAAAGAUCUGGUGGAAAAAAAGUUGUGAUAAGCAUUUCUCAGAGAAGAAGAUGCAGAAAUGUUUUGUAAGAGUAGUGGACCUGCAACAAGCCCUGCGCAACUGUAACUAAUUUUUGAAACAAUUCCAGGAAGAUUACUGCAAUAGCUAAAUAAAAAGAAAAGGAGACCUUGAAAACUAACAGUUUUUCUAAUAAAUUAUUUUAAAGAUGUCCUGGUGCAAUUGUGCUAAGGACUCUUCAGCUGUCUGUAUGGAUGCCGAGUCAUUCUGAUGUCAAAUGCCUGAAGCCUGCAGGAAAUUGCAGGUUUGUCUGCAUGCAGCUCUCCUGAAUUCAAUCAAAUUCAUCUGAACUUUUUCAAAUUCCACUGGAGGAGGAGACAGGAGAUAACUCAGGGAAAGCCUAAAAGAGUAGGACCUGUCAUGCAGCCUCCUUAACUAUGUCGUUCCUAACUGCAUUUGUUACAGUCUUAGCCAUGAUCUUGCCCAAUCCCAGCUGCGUACACCUGUGUGCUCACUUAGAGCCCGUUUUUUGCACCUAUGUGAAGCCUACUCAGAUUUUGAAUACGUAUGAGUUUUGCAACAAUUUACAUUUUCUGUAUUGGUGUAACUUUAGAUAUUUAGUUUCAGCUCUGGCUCAACAUAGUACAUCAGACGUUUUAAAGAUAUAUUUUUUUUUUCCAUAAGAGGAAAAGUAAUUUUAAAGUUGGGUAAAGACAAGGGGAGGUAAGGUGAUAUGGGCCGGUUUGUUUAGCAAUAGGGAUCUGUUUAUUAGUUUAAGGACCAACAUAUUAGUUUAGCAAAAGGAAUCAAUGAAUGCUAAUUCUAAAACUUUCCUUUUCGCUUUUCUUGGUGUGUGAGCAGCCCUGUUUUCUCUUAAUUCUGCUUCACAAGAAGCACCAGAGACAUAAUAGACUGCUUAUCUUUGCAUUUCAUGAGGUGCUAGGAUGUUUUCCUCAUAUUUUCACAUAUAUGGUUUUGGAAAUUGCUGAUUAUGGGUUAACAACCAAUAGAAAUGUGCCAAACAGGGGAAAAACGGCUGAAGGUCAGCUAAAAGUCUCAAUGAUGAAGCUGAUGGUGGAAAAGUGGGGAUAAAGUAAGUGGGCAUAUGACCACCCUAAAUGCAACCAUGCAUGCCCAGAGGGAUAUUAGCAUAUGUUAAUGUGUUCUUGGAAAAGAAUGAAUACGUAUGUCAGUGUACUGCAUAUGCAUGUCUUAACUAUUUAACUGUAGAACCUGAACUCUGAGAGAGUGCGCUUGUUCGUCAAGUUGUCCAAUUCAUAUCAUGAGGAAUAAAGGAAAGGCACUUUCUAACACUACAUUGGAGUUAGAGGGUUUUCUUCCCAGAUAUUGGAUGACAAGGUAUCUACCUUGAGGAAAGAUAUUAUGAAGACCUACUUACAGAUGCUCUAGUUUUUUGGCCAUAUUUUGAUAAUUAGCAUGGAAACCAUGGACCUGAUUUGAGCUAAGCUGUUUGAUCACGUUUUGGAUGACAAGCUGCCCUUUAGCUUGUGUAAAUACGUGAUAUAACUCAUCACCAUUUUCAGUAUAAACCAGCAAGUUCAUCUAAACAUAUCAGUUUUGGUGAAGCCAAAUGUCUUUAUUGCCUAGGGUGAUUUUUUUUAAACUUAUUUCUAAAACUGUGGGAUUUCCAAUUAAAAAAAAAAAUCCCAAAUGUAUUUAUGAAUAAAAAAGGAUAAACACAGUGAUUGCGGAUGCACAUUUUAAUUAACUGGAAAAUCUCUUCUUCUUUUUGUUGAUCCCCUAUUUCCUUCUUUUCCAAGGCUCAUGUGUGAUGAUUGUAGAAAGAUGAAUAAUGUUUUAGUCAUACAACCUUCAUUAAAGCUAUUGAAAAUGUGCUGUUAAUUCCCUGAGUUCAACUUUGAAAACACGAAAGUUACUGUUUAUCCCUGUAUCUAAG
ensembl:lncRNA